UAGAGUCUAGGGGAAGCGUUUCGAUUCAACAGCCUCCGCCAGUACCAGAAACGUAAUUGCUCGAGAAGGGAUUCAACUUGUCCUUUCAUGGAAGGGCGGUCUAUCGCAAGGAACAAGCUUGAAUGCAACCAUGAUUUAUGACUCUGCGGCUGCUAAGGAUAUAGCUAGAAAUGCAAGAACAUCGGCUGCGAUAGCGUUUCCGUGAUCUAUAAUAAGCCGCUAAAAACCUGGGAUUGCGUGUAUAGCGUAAUUGCUGAAAGAAACGGAUCAUUUGUUUCUCUGAAAUAUAAUAUCCG
rnacentral:misc_RNA from 1 species